rnacentral:rRNA from 1 species
GACCGUUGCCAGCCGCCGCGGUAAUAACGGCACCACAAGUGGGGAUCACGAAUAUUGGGUCUGAAGCAUCCGUAGCCGGUUUGUUAAGUCUCUUGUGAAAUCCUGUAGAAAACUACAGGGCGUGCAAGAGAUACUGGCAAACUUGGGACUGGGAAGAGUUAGAGGUACUUUUAGGGUAGGGGUAAAAUCCUGUAAUCCUAAAGGGACCACCUGUGGCGAAGGCGUCUAACUGGAACGGGUCCGACGGUGAGGGAUGAAAGCUAGGGGAGCAAAGCGGAUUAGAUACCCGCGUAGUCCUAGCUGUAAACGAUGCCCGUUAGGUAUUGGAAAUCUUUCGUGGAUUUUCAGUGCCGUAGGGAAGCCAUUAAACGGGCCACCUGGGAAGUAUAGUCGCAAGGCUGAAACUUGAAGGAAUUGGCGGGAGAGCACACAAGGGGUGCGGCUUGCGGUUCAAUUGGAUUCAACGCCGGGAACCUCACCUAGAGUGACAGCACAAUGAUGGUCAGUCUAAAGGGCUUACCUGAGGCGCUGAGAGGUAUUGCAUGGCCGCCUUCAGCUCGUACUGUGAAGCGUCCUGUUAAGUCAGGCAACGAGCGAGAUCCGUGCCUUAUGUUGCUAUUUAUUUCUUCGGAGAUAAAGCACUCAUAAGGGACCGCUACUGAUAAAGUAGAGGAAGGAACGGGCCACGGUAGGUCAGUAUGGUCCGAAUCUCUAGGGCUACACGCGAGCAACAAUGGUAAGGACAAUGGGAUGCAACUCCGAAAGGAGGAGCUAAUCCUCGAAACCUUAUCUUAGUACGGAUUGAGGAUUGCAACUCAUCCUCAUGACGCCGGAAUCCCUAGUAG